UAAUUGUUGCUCUACUUUCUUCCUCUUCUUCAGUUCUUUGUCUUUGUCUUUUUCUUCUUUUUUUUUGUUUUCUCAGAAGGUUUUCUAAUCGGGCUGUAUUUGUUUCAAAUGUUUUUUUACCUCAUUAACAAUGGGAUAUAUUGGCCUAAAAAACGUUAGAACUUAGAAUAUUAAUUCAAUUUUCAAAGUAAUCUUGUGAAAAAUAAUUAAUUAUUUUCAAUUCCAUCUGUUUACACAACCAAUUUAUCUCCCGGAAAUAUAUACAAAAUUAAAUUGAUGAAUGAUCCAUCACACAAAAUUGUUUAUUUGAAUCUUUUUUCAUAGUAAUAAUGUAAC
rnacentral:lncRNA from 1 species